CAAUAGCGUAUAUUAAAGUUGUUGCGGUAAAAAAGCUCGUAGUUGGAUUUCUACCGAAGAUAGCCGGUCGGGUCUUCGACCUUGUAUCUGGUUUUGUCUUUGGUAUCCUCAUAGGGAACGUUUCUGCGCUUUAUUGCGUGGUGCGGUAUCUAUGACUUUUACUUUGAGGAAAUUAGAGUGUUCACGGCAGGCAAACGCCUUGAAUAUAUUAGCAUGGAAUAAUAACAUAGGAUCUUCGUCCUGUUUUGUUGGUUUCUAGGGCUAAGAUAAUGAUUAAUAGGGAUAAUUGGGGGCAUCUGUAUCAACGCGUCAGAGGUGGAAUUCUUGGAUUGCGUUGCGACAAACUACUGCGAAAGCAUUUGCCAAGGAUGUUUUCAUUGA
rnacentral:rRNA from 1 species